rnacentral:rRNA from 1 species
CCUACGGGUGGCAGCAGUGGGGAAUAUUGCACAAUGGGGGAAACCCUGAUGCAGCAACGCCGCGUGAGUGAUGACGGCCUUCGGGUUGUAAAGCUCUGUCUUCAGGGACGAUAAUGACGGUACCUAAGGAGGAAGCCACUGCCAACUACGUGCCAGCAGCCGCCGGAAUACUGAGGUGGCGAGCGUUGUCCGGAUUUACUGGGCGUAAAGGGAGCGUAGGCGGACUUUUAAGUGAGAUGUGAAAUACUCGGGCUUAACGUGAGAUCUGCAUUUCAUACUGGAAGUCUAGAGUGCAGGAGAGGAGAAUGGAAUUCCAAGUGUAGCGGUGAAAUGCGUAGAGAUGUGGAAGAACACCAGUGGCGAAGGCGAUUCUCUGGAAUGUAACUGACGCUGAGGCUCGAAAGCGUGGGGAGCAAACAGGAUUAGAUACCCUAGUAGUC